UCUGUGUCCUUCCAGCUCAUUCAUUUUACUGUCCAACAUCUGUUGCCUCUCUUCCCAUUCUGCCUGCUUAAUUUGCUUGUAUAGCUGGCGCAGUAGUUUUUGGCCGAUGGAGAAGCUAGCGGAGCUGGCGGACAUGCCUACUCUGUGUACCUGAGGUGGCACAGUCAGUGUAUUUCUUUUGUUUGGGCGCUCAGUCCGAUAAGGUCCUCGAUGCAGUCAGCAUUAUACUAUCGCACAAGUGACUCGCUCCUAGCCUUCCCCUUGAAAAUUCCACCGGCCAAAAACUACCGCGCCGACUAUACUAAAGACCAAUUUUCUUAACUGAGAAACGGAGGGGGGUUUAAGCAUGCGCACAACACGUCUGCUGGGCCACCUACGUGACAGAUUCUCACGGCGGCAAAUAUGAACAUGGAAGCCCUGAUAAAGGAGGCAGUACGCACCUAUAAAAUGUCAAUAUAAUUCUACGAGACUAUUCGACGCAGUAUACCAGAAGAUUCUCAUCUUUAAAUUUUAUCAAAUAUUAUUUAAAUAGCUCAGAUUGAGGAACAGAUAACGAAUGAUUUAGGACGAGUUUGGAAGAGAGCAGAGGUGACUUGUUUAUAAGAUCUCGACAAGUUUCAG